rnacentral:rRNA from 1 species
UACGAGGGGUGCAAGCGUUAUUCGGAAUCAUUGGGCGUAAAGGGUGCGUAGACGGCGUUUUAAGUCAACUGUUAAAUCUUUCGGCCUAACCGAAAGCUCGCGGUAGAUACUGAAAUGCUAGAGGGUGGAAGAGAGAAGUGGAAUUCUCGGAGUAGCGGUAAAAUGCGUAGAUCUCGAGAGGAACACCGAUGGCGAAGGCAGCUUCUUGGUCCAUACCUGACGUUGAGGCACGAAAGCGUGGGGAGCAAACAGG